UAAAUCAGUUGUCUAGCAAUAAUGCAUCAGAGGUGCAGCAAAAUAUCUGAAAAGGAUGAAGCGAAGGGAACUAUUGUUUCAUGUGAACAUUACGUGCCGGGGUCUGGAACGUAUUUUAUAUAAACUCUCCAAUUAAAGAGAAAAAAUGUGGUUUUCUGUUAAGCUGUAGAUAGCGCAAGGGUGAAUACAACUCUAAUGAUGAGACUCAGAUUUAAACAGAUGCAGCAGUUCUGGAAUUUCAGUUUUAUGGGGUUUUGUUUCUCCCUCAAUCUUAGAAGAUAUAAUAGAAGACAAACAUAUUCGUUGAUGUUCAUUAAAAGAAAGCCUGACAGCGCUGAAAAGAACAGGUAGUGACUGGUCCCAGGAAAUACUUUCUGUGAUACAGUUGUAAAAAUUGCAGGGCAUGUGUGCAAACUGCAAUUUAUAAGCAAACAGAGAAAUCAUGCUGGGUUCUUUUACUUUCUCUUAAGAUCAUGAAAGAAAGUAGAAAGAAAUAAAUUUAGAAGACUUUUUUUUAGAAGUGAGUAAGUAAUGUAGGAGAAAACAAAAUGAAUGUGUAGUUAAGAGCCAUUAUAUUUUUUUUGGUGGGGAAGUCAAAUUAAUAGUCUUUUUUUAUUCUAAGAAAAAUUUGAACUCUAAUGGACCUUUGACUACGUAUCACCUAUCAGGGGAUUUUUUAAAAACUAUGUAUCACUUAUCAGAGGGAUUUUUUGUAUAUGUGUGAAGUGAUUGAUAGAAUGACAUUUUUCUAUUGUUUCCAGAUAAAAUAUGCCAAAAGUGUAACUGUUUUCAGAAGUUUGAAGUCACCAAAACAUAUUUCAGUAGAUAAUUUUUUAAAAGGAUAUUUAAGCCAGGGAAAAAAGAUGCAGGAGUGACAUUUUUAAACGGAUGGGGGUGUCAUUAAAAGUUAUUCCAUGAUAAAGGAGAACUGCAUUGGUUUUCUUCUUAUAGCAGAUUCUCUCACCUAUCACAAUCAGUGUUAUAACUGGGUUAGAUAAAAUGCAGGUAUACUCUUGCUGCCUUCAUGUUUUAGUUCCAACCAAUCUCAGGAUUUUUUUUUUACAUGUACACUAAAUCAGUAGAGUAAAAGACUAACAUUAAUAAAUAACUUGAACUUUCUUUUACUCUUCAAGACUUGAGCCAGCUUUAAAAAAAUGCAUAAGCCAGUCCAAACUUGGUAGAUAUCUCUUUUAUUCCCUUAAGUAAAUUUUCUCAACUGCCAAAUUGAAAAUUUUUAAUUUAUUAAUGCUUGAAUGAAUAAUUCACUCUCAGACACUGGACGAUCCAAAACAAACAAACCAGUUUGUGUAUUUAGUUAUAUGAACUUUUGAACGCACUGCCUCAUAAAUCCAGUACUUAUUGAACCUAAAAAAAAAAAAAAAAGUGCUGACCCCUAUGGGCCCUGCUGUUAAUUAUCUCCCACUGCAGACAUCAUGUCUUUUCUUUACUUUUUAGGAUUGUUUCUUCCUUAUUAAAUAUUUUAUAUGUUUUCCCCUAUUAUGUCUGUGAUGCUCUGCAGUAGGCAUUGAAUGGCUUUGGUAUAAUUUCAGUAGUUUUUCCCAGGAUAUUCUGCUGUAUCAGUAAAGAUAUUAGUUGUUAUUUAUUUUCUAAUAUAAAUCUGUGGGAAGUAUUGAUAUAUUCACCACCCCGCCAUGAGAAUAUUGGGCCUCAAGCAGGUUGAUACAUGGUCAAGAUUAUUUCAAUCCAAAGUGUUGCACUUUUUUUUUUUGGCCUGCAAAUCAUUUUCUUUGCCUCUGAUCACUCCUGUGCCCUGUGACUAUCCAGCAGGCCUGAUGAUAUUCUCCCUGGCUUCCGUCUUACAGAUGCCUUGCCUGAGCCUCCGGUCUAAAUUGGGUCCUCGGUAGACAGUACUGUCUUGAUGACCUCAUAUUGGUAUAACAAUUUGGGAUUGUAAACUUGUGUGAUUGUUCACAUAUGUGUCAUGUGCUAUCCUGUAAAGCUCAGUGAGGGGAGGGAUUGUAGCUAUUUCACUUCCACUGCUGCAUCACUUGGGUGCACCACAGAAACCGACAGGCAGCAGGGCACACAGUAAAUAUUGUUGAAAGAGUGAGUUAAAGUGAGAUUUAAAACCAAGCCUGUACCAUGGAAGUCACAGACACACUAUUGCAGGAGUGAUUGUGGUGUUUUUGUGAACGGUUCCUAUACAUGGAUUCCACGUCCCGGUGGCUACAUAUGCACUAUCCUGUACCUUAUAUUCUAUAUUCUGUACUGUCAUACUGAAACUAAGUUGAAAGCUCAUUGAAAGCAGAUCUUAUGGUUUCUAUUUAGAGUAAAUGAAACAUGUAGUUAGUUGGUUGAUCCUUCAUAAGUACUUACUAAUUGAUUGGAAACUGAUCUUAACAUUUAAUUUGUUACGGAGCAUUCUUUAUUUCACUAAAGCCAUCUUCCUGACGCUGUUCUCUAGCAUGCUUUGUUCUUCUGUUAUAAUGACUGAUGAUCAUAAUCAGAAAAGGCUAUGCCUGGUGUUAAUGCUUCAUUUUUUCCCUUUUAUUCACAGACAGUUGGAGUGAUCAAGCUUUCAAAUCCUUGAAAACGUGAACUGUGCUAUGUCUGGGGCAGGCUCCAUAUUUUUAUUAUGUACCGCACAACUCUAAAAGCAACAUAGAAAUUCAGGGCACUUAGAUUGAAAAAUGAACACUUUCCACAUUUAAAGGAGACUUACAUAUUUUUGGGGUUACAUACAUUCUUCAUCCCAUUUAUAAAAUCCAGAACCCGUGGUUGGGCAUAAAGCAGGAGAUUUAAUACUCUUCUGCUGGUGGGUUUUGUUGAUUUUUACUGCCCCCUCCACCCAGCCCUACCCUACCCCACUCUAUCUCUUCUGCUCUUUUUGUUCUUCAUAGUUUUGUGCUAACUUCAGAGCUGCAGAUGUGCCAUUGAUCACAGAUUUAUAUAUAUGAGCUAAGAACAGGAAUGCUAAAAUAAUUUCUUUCUCAGACUUUAAAGAUACAUGAUAGGUCAAGAUGCUUUACUUCAUAGCCAAACAUACUAAGGCACAGAGCAACAUGGCAAGAAUUUGAGUUGUGAGAGCCAGAAGUGCUUGUUCAGCACUAACAAGAAAUAGGAGAACAGGAUCAGUAUAAUCUCAUAUUCUUAUUAAAUUUAAAAAAAAGAGAGAGAGUAAUGCCAAGGUUAUGACAUGAACUGACAAGACCAAAAAAAAAAAAAAUCAGUUUUUCUGAUGCUUCAGCCUUUGCAAGCAUAUGAAAGAAUAAUAGUAAAAAAAAAAAAAAAAAAGUCCUGUGGCAUGAGUUAUAGAUGAAGUAUCUGCCUUUAGCUUGGAAUUUCCUGGCAUUUUUCAGCCUGUGACACAGACUUGAUGUGAUUAAACAAAGGCUUUUCUCCAAAUUUAAAGCUCCUUUAAAAAAAAAAAAAAGCUGAAUCUAAUACUCUAAAUUGUUUUUAAAUGGGAGCAGAUGCCUCUGUUUCUUGAGCUGACUUCCAGAUUCUGAGAAAUAAAUGAAGAAUGGGGGCUUGUUUUGGUAGAGGCUGAGAAAACAGUUGGCCAUAUUUGCCCUUCAGAACUUCAUAUCAUCCUGCAGCUCCCCAGUGGCAGAGCCGCAUUCUUUCACAGGAUGGGGCUGGGGCAGAGGAUGGCGUCCUGUGGAUUGGAUUUCCCUUGGCUUCCCUGAGGGCAGUCCCCCGAGGAAGCACAUCCUGGAGGCAGAUUCACCCAAUGAACCACAGCAACAGCUCCUAGGAGAAUGAAGAGUGUGAGUAGAACUUGAGACCCCAGGCCUGUCUCUCAUAUUUAUGGAAGAAUCUGACUUUCUGCAGUUCCAAGCAAGCCACUUUCCUGCUUCCUCAGGCAGUCAUGACAUGGUAAUUAGAAACCAGGAAGACUAAGAAAGGAUCAAAUUUGCAGCAGCUCAGUAAGUGGUAGACCAGGAACAAGAAGCCAGUUCUCUGGACUCUUGAAGCAAGGCCCUGCCACGUUGUCUUUCCCCAGGAGAAGAGGCACAGUGAAACAGAUGCUCAUGGCAACUUCUGCUCCAGAAGCUUCCCAGGAAACUGGGGAGGGAAUCAUGUUCCAGCAGUGAAGAACAAAGGCAGUUGUUUGGGGAUUUACAUAUUCCAUCUCCUACAAAGUUAAAAAAAGUUUUCUUUUCCUGAAAGACUACAAUCAAGCUACAAACAUGCAUAAUGGGUGAAGUGGAUUAACAAGUUUGUGUCAUGUUAAUUAUAUAUUUCAAUAAAGACAAUUUUGGAACUAG